rnacentral:rRNA from 1 species
UACGUAGGGUGCGAGCGUUGUCCGGAAUUACUGGGCGUAAAGAGCUCGUAGGUGGUUUGUCGCGUUGUCCGUGAAAACUCACAGCUCAACUGUGGGCGUGCGUGCGAUACGGGCAGACUGGAGUACUGCAGGGGAGACUGGAAUUCCUGGUGUAGCGGUGGAAUGCGCAGAUAUCAGGAGGAACACCGGUGGCGAAGGCGGGUCUCUGGGCAGUAACUGACGCUGAGGAGCGAAAGCGUGGGGAGCGAACAGG